ensembl:lncRNA
GUGUUUCUUCUGCUUUCUUGGAUGCAAAGCGACCGCCCUGGUAGGGUAAAUACACCGUUCCUCAUCACGCCGGACAAGUUAAUGACACAGCUGGUUGCAGAAAGGAGCUUGUAACGUUGCGCCGAGCUGAAGAAACACCGCCUGUUAUGUGUAGGUAGCACGGAAGAGGAAUGAGGAUCCACUGCAUGAUUCCAUGAGUCUACAAUUCUAUGAUUCAACAUUUUUCUUUGCUUUGGUUGCUUUUCUUCCCCAUUUAUGCAUAUGGAACAACUUUCCCUGUUGGUCAGCUGCUGUGGCUGCAGAUAGGAGCAAGAAGGGAGCUGGAGCAGAGCAAGGGCAGGGAAAAUUGGUCCAAUUCAGUGACAGUUCCAGCCUCAAACACGGGUAGCUCUGUGUGUCUCCUGCUAUCAGUCUGUGCUACUCCUGCAGCAAGCUGGAUCCAUGACAUUGCCAGUGCUUUGGGGUGCUGGCAUCCGGGCUCUGAGCUCAUGAGGGUCCUAUGUGAGGUUAGAGAAUCACACUAUCAUGAAAUGAUGGAAUCAUUAGGGGUUAGGAGGGACCUCUGGAGAUCAUCAACCCCCUGCUAAAGCAGGUUCUCUGCAGUCAGUACAAAUGGCAAUAACCUGACUUGGAGAGGUUGCCUGUGCUCUGGCUGGCUGAAAAUUACUACGAAGAAGAUUUACAGUGGAGCACUGUCGUUGGAGUGACCAGAGAUGUGAAAGGAGAAUCAACAUGCCCAUUAAAACUGAAUGAAUGUAAAAUCCCACAGCAGAGUGGAAACUGAAACUGGGAAUGGGAAGUGCUCAGAUUGUGUCUCUGUCCUUUUGGUAUACGGGAUCCUCCCCGAGCAAGCAGCAACCUGUCGUUUCAGCAAUGCAAGGCUUCCCCUCAGUGGCAACAAGGCAGCAGGGUGUCCUGCUGCUACACCACAAUAAAAGCAUUUUGCUUUUUUUUUUUUUUUUCUUCAAAGGCAAAGUCCAGUAAAAAUGUGGCUCUGAAGUAAAGGAAAUAUUUACAGCAGAGGCCGCUGGCUGGGCUGGGUGUAAUGGUAUACAGCAAUACAAGAGGCCAAAGUGAUACUACUUUAUGAGCCAAGAGUUUUUAACUCUUUUGGUAUAGGAGACAGCUGCCUACACGAGGCACUUAGGGAACAAAUGAAACUUGAGCAGUGUCAUACUGGGAUCAUAGAAUAUGGACAAAAGCAACAGAAAGGAGUAUAUUUUUUUACAAGAAAAGGAUUAACUGGAGAACAGUGGUUGCAGUGCUAAAGCUCCUACCCAAGUGCAGCUGGCGAGAUUGCUGACAGCGCAGGGGGCUCUCCCAGAAAUGAGUUCUUCCUGCAAAAAUACCCAUCCCCAUCAACAUCUAUUAUCUAAAAGGUGAUGUCCAGGUUGAUUUAAUUUCCAGUCCUGGAAAUGAAAUGGGACCAUGGUAUUAGGAGACAUGUGAGCUCAGAUUAUGCAUACAAAAAAGACGACAGCCAAAUUGUCUAUGUAUGGGCAGACUGCAUUUGCCUUACCCCAAAAGAUUUACCAGUUGCUAUGGUUACUCAAUAUUACAGCUCAAUAGAUUGGUAAUGUGAACUGAUAGAUCUAGAAAUACACUGCAAGAUGGAAUUAAAGAGGCCCUGCUGAAACACAGCCUGAAAAAUCCUGUGCUCCUGAUGAGGCGGAAACACUUUGCUGCUGACGGGCUGGUCAUGGUUCCCAGAUGCGUGGCAGGGGUCCCACCAAAUAGCAGUGAGAUGUGUGCUUGGUGUCUUGUGCAGCCAGAGGUGUAAAACACACGUCAAAGGGAUAAUAAAACACAGUCCAAACUGUCUCACAUGGAAUCUCUUGAGUAAAUCAUGGCCGAGUCUCAGCAAGUACAGG